rnacentral:rRNA from 1 species
UACGAGGGGGGCAAGCGUUGUUCGGAAUUAUUGGGCGUAAGGGCGCGUAGGCGGUGCGGUAAGUCACCUGUGAAACCUCUAGGCUCAACCUAGAGCCUGCAGGCGAAACUGCCGUGCUUGAGGGUGGGAGAGGUGCGUGGAAUUCCCGGUGUAGCGGUGAAAUGCGUAGAUAUCGGGAAGGAACACCUGUGGCGAAAGCG